CCUGCCCACUGAAAAUUUUAAAUGGCCGCAGUAUUCUAACUGUGCAAAGGUAGCAUAAUCAUUAGUCUUUUAAUUGAAGGCUGGAAUGAAUGGUUGGACGAAAUAUUAACUGUUUCAUUUAAAUUUUUUAUAGAAUUUUAUUUUUUAGUCAAAAAGCUAAAAUAAAUUUAAAAGACGAGAAGACCCUAUAAAUCUUUAUAUUUUGUUUAUUUUAAUUAUAAAGAUUAUUUUUAUUAUAAUAAAUUAAAAUAUUUUAUUGGGGUGAUAUUAAAAUUUAAAAAACUUUUAAUUUUAAAAACCAUUAAUUUAUGAAUAAUUGAUCCAUUAAUAAUGAUUAAAAAUUUAAGUUACUUUAGGGAUAACAGCGUAAUUUUUUUGGAGAGUUCAUAUCGAUAAAAAAGAUUGCGACCUCGAUGUUGGAUUAAGAUAUAAUUUUGGGUGUAGCCGUUCAAAUUUUAAGUCUGUUCGACUUUUAAAUUCUU
rnacentral:rRNA from 1 species